UACAGAGGGCCCAAGCGUUACUGAGAAUCACUGGGUUUAAAGGGUGCGUAGGUGGUCCGUUAAGUCAGUUGUGAAAUCCCCGGGCUCAACCCGGGAAAUGCUUCUGAUACUGGCGGACUUGAGGCCAGUAGGGGUCACUAGAACUGACGGUGGAGCGGUGAAAUGCGUAGAUAUCGUCAGGAAUGCCGGUGGUGAAGACGGGUGACUGGGCUGGUUCUGACACUGAGGCACGAAAGCGUGGGGAGCGAACGGG
rnacentral:rRNA from 1 species